GCCAGCGGGGAUAGCAUGUUGAAUGCACCAGUUCCCGAUAGAUCACUGAAGUUAAGCAACGUUGCACGUGAUUGGAAAUCGGAACGGGUGACCAUUUGGACAAUCGUGUGCUACCGGCU
rfam:Asian citrus Psyllid, Diaphorina citri - Florida Strain, whole genome shotgun sequence.